AGUGAACGCUGGCGGUAGGCCUAACACAUGCAAGUCGAACGGCAGCACAGUAAGGGCUUGCUCUUACGGGUGGCGAGUGGCGGACGGGUGAGGAAUCAAUCGGAAUCUACUUUUUCGUGGGGGAUAACGUAGGGAAACUUACGCUAAUACCGCAUACGACCUACGGGUGAAAGAAGGGGAUCUUCGGACCUUGCGCGAUUGAAUGAGCCGAUGUCGGAUUAGCUAGUUGGCGGGGUAAAGGCCCACCAAGGCGACGAUCCGUAGCUGGUCUGAGAGGAUGAUCAGCCACACUGGAACUGAGACACGGUCCAGACUCCUACGGGAGGCAGCAGUGGGGAAUAUUGGACAAUGGGCGCAAGCCUGAUCCAGCCAUACCGCGUGGGUGAAGAAGGCCUUCGGGUUGUAAAGCCCUUUUGUUGGGAAAGAAAAGCAGCAGGUUAAUACCCCGCUGUUCUGACGGUACCCAAAGAAUAAGCACCGGCUAACUUCGUG
rnacentral:rRNA from 1 species